CGCGCUUCAUCUGACGGCCUAUAUUACGCGCACCAUAUUAAGGGUAUUUUGGUAAUUAUGCUUGUUGAAAGACCUCUAUUCUAAAAUUCUCUCUACGUUCUUACUUUCUCCCUCUACGUUUUUACUUUCUCUCUCUACAUCUGGGCGCUGAAGGCGAUUCCAUUGUUAUUCGUUUUUGUUUUUCGAUUUCAUCGAUUUUCUUAUUUGAUUUCGUAAAUUCUUCGUUGUUCUUCUGCUAUUUUGGUUUUUUUUUUUGUUGUGUUUCGAACAUUCUUGAGAGGUACAAAUACUUGGUCUUAGUGGCCGGUGGCAUUGUUAUAUCUUCCUUUCUUGUCGUCCUAAUUGAUGUCAUGCACCGUCUCAAAGAAGGAAAACCUUGCAUGUCUAAAAACAUCUUUAUUGUUUGGGAUAUCAAAAACUCCGAUGAGCUUCCACUUCUGUCAAUGAUAAAUAUGGAGUCCAUAGACCCCAUUUUUUGUGAUGCCUUAAAUCUCGACAUUAAAAUUUAAGUCACACAACAAUCAGAACCUAAACUGGUAAGUUACCCUUAUGUUGUUAUCUUUAUCCCUAUAUAUUGUAUUAUGUUUUGCACUUCUCGUGUGCAUUUUUCUGUAUAUAUUUGUAACAGAAAGAGGGGAAAGAAUUUGGACCUAUGAACACUUGUACAUAUCCUUUCUCAAAACGCUCUGCUAUAUCAGUUUUGGUUGGUACUAGAGAUAACAUAUGGUCUGGAAUUUACAUCACUGCUUCUUCAAUUGACUUCUUGGUCUUCCUGAGUUUCUUGGAUGCUAUAGUUUGAUACCUGGAUCUGGUUAUAAUUGAUAUUUUGAAAAAGUAGUGUAUUUAGAAGUAAUGUGUGCUAUCAAAUAUGCAAUAUGAACAAACACAUAACUAAAUGAUUGCGUUAGGAAUCAAUUGGAGAUGGUGGCUAAAUUGUCAGUCAUUACAUGAUUUAUUUUGCUGUAAGGAAGAGAGCAGUAGUUUUUGUAUUGUGUUUGAUUGACUCUAAUUAUAAUGCUGGAAAACAAGAAAUUGUACUUCGUAUACUAUAUAGAUGUUUUGAUUUACUUUUGAUA